CUGGGAUACUUGGGAUUUCUAUCCUUCUUCAAUGUCUUUGGCCUAUGGAAUGUGACUGAUGUUCUAAUCUUCUUAGCCUUCUUCUUGAAAGUUGGACCAGACUUGACUGCCUUGGCAGUCUUCAAGGCUUGAGCCUUGGGAUCAGCCUUUUUGCUACUGUCGGCUUUAGGUGCCAUUGCUGAAGAUCCUGGACCAGAAUAACUUACCUACGAAGAGAGGGAUGGCGAG
rnacentral:misc_RNA from 1 species